UUUCCGUAGGUGAACCUGCGGAAGGACCAUUAUCGAGUUAGGGGCCUUCGGGCUCCAAACUUCCAACCCUUUGCUUACAAACUCUUGUUGCUUUGGCGGAGCGGGGAUCACUCCCCGCCGGCUUCGGUCGGUCCGUCUCCGCCAAAGGUUUUUCAAACUCAGCCUGAAAACGUGUCAGUCUGAAAAGCAAACAAAAAAUUGCGAAAAACUUUCAACAACGGAUCUCUUGGUUCUG
rnacentral:misc_RNA from 1 species